AUUGAACGCUGGCGGCAGGCUUAACACAUGCAAGUCGAGCGGAGAGAGGUAGCUUGCUACUGAUCUUAGCGGCGGACGGGUGAGUAAUGCUUAGGAAUCUGCCUAUUAGUGGGGGACAACAUUUCGAAAGGAAUGCUAAUACCGCAUACGUCCUACGGGAGAAAGCAGGGGAUCUUCGGACCUUGCGCUAAUAGAUGAGCCUAAGUCGGAUAGCUAGUUGGUGGGGUAAAGGCCUACCAAGGCGACGAUCUGUAGCGGGUCUGAGAGGAUGAUCCGCCACACUGGGACUGAGACACGGCCCAGACUCCUACGGGAGGAAGCAGUGGGGAAUAUUGGACAAUGGGCGCAAGCCUGAUCCAGCCAUGCCGCGUGUGUGAAGAAGGCCUUAUGGUUGUAAAGCACUUUAAGCGAGGAGGAGGCUACUUUAGAUAAUACCUAGAGAUAGUGGACGUUACUCGCAGAAUAAGCACCGGCUAACUCUGUGCCAGCCGCCGCCGUAAAAC
rnacentral:rRNA from 1 species